rnacentral:SRP_RNA from 1 species
CGGCGGGGAGGACUGGGAGGUCAGCCGUCUCCCACACUGAAACCGGCUACAUGCAGUGGUCAGUAACCGUCGGGUAAAGCCACCCUUCCAGCUACCUGCGUGGGACUGAGGAAUGAAUUCACGCCGAGGUGGGCGGUCGUGAAGGGCGGUCUCCUCGAAGGAGGGGUCCCGACUCUUAACCGCCGAACCGGGCGAGGUCCGGGAGGGAGCAACCCUAAGGUGGCGCGACCACGCUGCCUCGUCUACGUGGUAUGGUUCGCUUGCCUGACCGUGGUGGUGCGCGCCAGAAAAAGACAUGUAUUCCCAUCA